CCACAAUAUUCACAAGAAUCUAAUAAUUAAUCUAAUUAAUUUACAAUAAUUUAAGACUAAUUUAUUUUAAAAUUAUACUAACAAUUGAAUGGAAAGGAGAAAAGGAUACCUAUCCUUGACUCCUAACUAGGUCAUGGGGAUCUUGUCAGCUUAGAAGCACAAGCCUGGUAGAAUCUUUGGGACUCUAUGCAAAUACAAAGUCUCUUGGAAUCUUGAAAAGGCGCUUUCUGAGAAAGCAUCUAAACUUUGGGUAUUUUAGGGAAUUCUAGGAAUUUCUGGGAAUUUCAGGAUUUUUAAUCUAUAUUUUGAAUUUUUUAAAAUAGAAAAAUAGGUGAAAGAUAAAAGAGACUUGAAUAUUUUUUGAGGUUUUGGAAGUCAAUUAGAGUUAUUUUGAAGUGGUUUUCACGUAAGGAGGGUUCUUUAUGUGAUGCGAACCAGGUUUCUAAAAUCAGAAAACGGUUUGCUUAUGGACCCAUUUAGGGGUGAAUUAACUCAAAAAAUCAAUAUAAUGGCGAUCCUGUAAAUCACAUCAAAUUCCUAACAAAGGGCAAUCUGGUAAAUAGAUGAUUACUUCAAUAGAAGGGAAAAUAUCAAAGGAAGAAGCAACGUACUAGUUAGGUAGGGGUAGAUUUAGAAAUAAAAGAAAGUGGGAAAUAGAAACAAAAGAUAGGGGCAAUUCUGGGAUUUAACAGGAAUAAGGAAAUAAACCUAGCUUAAGUGGUGUUCUUCAACCUCACGACAACCAGAAAUGGGUGACAGCCUCUAUGGUUUUACUGAAACUCUUCCACACCAGCUUGGAUCGACCUAGGGCCUGGAAUGGAGAAUCGCAGCACAAGGAAGUUGUGUUGGCAGCACCAGGGGCUCUCGAUAUUCCAGAUUAGAUGGGGUCUUCGAACCUGCAGCUGGAUAUUGCGAUGGCAAGAGCUCAGAUCUGAUUCUGGGUUGAAUUUCUUCACAACAGAACCAAGCCUCGAAGGAGAUGACCUAGGAUUUGUAUCGCCUAGGAGAGAGUUACCUUCACUCAAAAUCUCAGUCCAAAAAACCCAUGCAUGAGGGAGAUCGAUCUGCUUCAAGGAGACAGCAACGAUAGCCAGAAACAAGGUAGGGAAACAAACCAAAAAGAAGAAGAAGAAGAAGAAGAAGAAGAAGAAGAAGAAGAAUAUAAGGAAGAAGAAGAGAAGGGAAAGUAAGAGGCAGAGAGAAAUUAUUAGAAAGGGAGAAGAAAAGAAUCACCGGCAACCAUAUUCAUGGUUCUCACACAAAAAAAAUCAUCAAGUUCUAACUCUUCAAAAUUCUAAAACUGAACUUCUUCAUCGUUUACAUGUCCAAUAUAAAGAAAAAAAUCAAAAAAUUAAUGGCAACUAACUUAAAAUGGAAACUAAUCUAAAAUUAGAAACUAACUAAUUUCAAAGAAAUUGUUUCUAAAACAAAAGAAAAUCAAAUCAAAAUUUUUUUUCCUAAAUCCAUCGUGCAUCUGCAUCAUUAUGGACAUGGAGGCACUCUCUAUGGCACCAUGGAUGGCCUUCUAUGGCAUCACAGUGCACAGGCACCCACUGCAGCGUCACAACAGCGUCCUGCAUGGAUACCUCACUGGCUUACCGUGACCCCGUGAAGUUAUGCCAUGUGGACCUAUGAUUCACUUGAAAUGGAAUCUUUGGCCGAAAAUAUUCAAAUGGCUGUAACUUUUGAUCCAUUGUCCAAUUUUUGCAAACCAAGUGUCUUUAGAAAUCUUGUUUCGAGUACUAUCCGAUGUAUGGGAAUCGGGCACCGAUUUGGCCAGGAACAUCUUCGAAAAAGUGCCCCAAGCGUGAGAUCCACUUGAUGGUUUCUUGUAUGAUUAAAGGGCCAAAUCAGUGUUGUUUACACGACUUCUAGUACAAGGUUUUUAAAUGAUAAAACAACAUAUUUGCAACAACCAGACCAGUUUUGGAAAAUACAGAAGGUCCCACCUUGAUCAAGGGCAAUUUGAUGAUUUUUUUCAGAAAAAAAUUGCAUUUUCCUAAAAGCAAUAUUUUUUGUGAAAGAGAUCAAACGAGAUUCGAAGAGACUCCUUCAACCACUGCCAUGUGGAUCCCAAGGUUAAAAAAUGCGAUGUUUACACUUAAAAAAAAAAAACUGUUGAUCAAUGAGGCUGUUUAUUAAUUUUGAAACGCUCCCAAGUGCCAAUAUGUUUUGGGGAUUGAUAGAAACAUAAAAUCAGUAAAUUGAGUACCAUAAAGAAAGUCUUAAAAUCAUAUAAUUUUCAAGAUUUUAUUUGUUCAAUAAAUAAAUAGAAGCAUAUUAACAUGUGAAAUGAUUAGAAGAUUUCUUGCAUUUUAAAAUUGUAGCUGCUGCUAUACUGCAGGGGCACUUGUAUGUAUCCGUAACUUGCUGUCUCAUGACAAUGUGUCUAUAUUAGGGUAUAGUUUUUUUAACUGUUUAUCUUUUUUCUGUUUUCCUUUGAUUUUUGUUUCAAUGCAGGAAAAACGCCAGAAUGUUUCUUUUCACAGCCCCAAAACAAGAACAUCUGGGUUUGCUGUCUCUUCUGGCCAAGGCUCUCCUUCAGACUCUUCCAGCUCCAAUCGCUGGUUCAGGCCAGAGGUUGACUCAGCCCCAUCAAUUCGUUCUAUUCAGAUAGAGGAAAAGGCAAUGAAGGACCUCAAGCGCUUCUACAGCAGCGUUAGGUUGGUAAAAAAUCCGACCUAGGUGCAAUGAUUUUCUCCCGCUAGUAGAUUUAUUGUGGCCUGAGAAAACAUUUUUUUUUUUUAAUGAAAAAUGAAAAUUAGCAUUAAGCAAACAAAGAGGAAUAUACAGAUGAUCAGAGAAACCUUUUUCUGUGUGAUAUUUUCUCUUACUGAUGUAAAUAUUCUUGUACAGAUGAUCUAAGUGUACAUGCAACUUUUUUAUAUAGUAAGUUAAUUGUCAUCUACUAAA